rnacentral:lncRNA from 1 species
UUAUUCAACUAACCACCCACUCAACUCUAGAGGAUCACUGUCAUUCUAACUGCACAUUUCUUCAUCCAAAGGUCGAAAAUCUAAUAGCAAGUGGUUGGUACUAUUAAUAGUAUAGUAGACUAUAUAUAUAGAUAUAGAGUAGGUCUUGUGUGCUAUUAGGAGCACGGAGGCCUCCGCGCUCCUAAGCCGUUUUCGAUGAUGGAGUUUCCGAAUCGACGAUCGGCUCCGUUAGACUUGAUCUAGCGUAUUUGAACUAUCUAAAAAAUAAAUUUUGUAACUUUUCGAUAUCAUUUACCUAACGAUCAAAAUGGUUCAAAAUCAACGGCUGAAAAUAAAAAUCUUACAAAAAGUGGUGAUAUAGCAUGAAAAUUUUCGAUCAAACAUAUUGAUCAUGCUGUAAAUAGUAUAAAGAAUUUUCUAUCAAAAUUUUAUCUGAUUUGAACACUUUUACACCGUUAAACUUGCAAACGGUAUACAUUAACCAUUAAAAAUUGUU